GCCCAAAGUCUAGCCUAUAUUUUUUAUAUAUUAAAAACCCCCCAACCUAAAUUCAAUAAAACAUUUUAACCUUUUAGUAGAGGUGAUCGAAAAACAUAUUAGCGCUAAAGACUAUGUACCGCAAGGGAAAGAUGAAAUAAAAAUGAAAUAAUUCUAAAGCACCUAAAAGCAGAGACCUCCCCUCGUACCUUUUGCAUCAUGGUCCAGCCAGUCUCCCCAAGCAAAACGAAUUUAAGUUUGAACCCCCGAAACUGAGUGAGCUACUUCGAAAUAGCCACAAGAGCUAACCCGUCUCUGUUGCAAAAGAGUGGGAUGAUUUCCAAGUAGAGGUGAUAAACCUACCGAGCCCAGAGAUAGCUGGUUCCUCAAGAAAAGAAUAUUAGUUCAACCUUAAGUCUCAAAAUUAUACAAAAAAAACACUUAGACUUUAGAGCUAUUCAAAUAAGGCACAGCUUAUUUGAAACAGGACACAACCUACAAUAUAGGGUAACCCUAUCAAAAAGUGACAGGUGGGCCUAAAAGCAGCCACCCUUAAAAAAGCGUUAAAGCUUAACACUAAUUCUUCACUAAUACCUCAAUUAUCCACUAACCCAUCAUCAAUAUUGAGUUACUCCAUAAAUUUAUGGAAGAUAUAAUGCUGAAACUAGUAACAAGAAGAAGACCUUCUCCUAAAUGUAAACCUAAGCCAUAACAGACAACCUACUGGCAAUUAACGAUAAUGAAACUAUUAUAGUAACCUAACAAGAAAAUUCUAUAACUUCUAACGUCACCCUUACACUAGAACAUUUAUGGAAAGAUUAAAAGAGAAAGAAGGAACUCGGCAACCAAACCCCCGCCUGUUUACCAAAAACAUCGCCUCUUGACAAAAUAUAAGAGGUCCAGCCUGCCCAGUGAUAAAUUAAACGGCCGCGGUACCCUAACCGUGCAAAGGUAGCAUAAUCACUUGUUCUUUAAAUGAGGACUUGUAUCAACGGCAUCACGAGGGGUCUACUGUCUCCUUCCUCCAAUCAGUGAAACUGAUCUCCCCGUGAAGAAGCGGGGAUACCCCUAUAAGACGAGAAGACCCCAUGGAGCUUUAAACCCAAUAACAACCCCACUUACUACACCCACUAAACUAAUAGGGUCCUGUAUACUUGGUUUUAGGUUGGGGUGACCGCGGAGUACAACAAAACCUCCACAAUGAACGAGACUACUCUUAUCUACGAGCCACACCUCUAAGAAUUAAUAUAUUAACACAAAUGAUCCGAUAUUCGAUCAACGAACCAAGUUACCCUGGGGAUAACAGCGCAAUCCAUUUCAAGAGCCCAUAUCGACAAAUGGGUUUACGACCUCGAUGUUGGAUCAGGAUAUCCUAGUGGCGCAGCAGCUACUAAAGGUUCGUUUGUUCAACGAUUAAAAUCCUACGUGAUCUGAGUUCAGACCGGAGUAAUCCAGGUCGGUUUCUAUCUAUAAAGAGCUACCCCUAGUACGAAAGGAUCGGAAUAGCGUGGCCAAUACAAAAGCAAGCCACAUACCUGACACCAAUGACCCCCACUCAAUUGGUCAAGAACUAAAACUAACCCAAGACAAGGGUUU
rnacentral:rRNA from 1 species